GCCAGGUAUGGUGGCGCCUGCCUGUAGUCCCAGCUAUUGGGAGGCUGAAGUGGGAGGAUCACUUGAUCCCAGGAGUUUGAGGCUGCAGUGAGCUAGGAUCAUGCCACUGCACUCUGGUUUGGGCAACACAGUGAGAUCCUGUUUCAA
ensembl:misc_RNA Metazoa_SRP Metazoan signal recognition particle RNA